UAGGGAAUCUUCGGCAAUGGGGGGAACCCUGACCGAGCAACGCCGCGUGAGUGAAGAAGGUUUUCGGAUCGUAAAGCUCUGUUGUUAAGGAAGAACGAGUGUGAGAAUGGAAAGUUCAUACUGUGACGGUACUUAACCAGAAAGGGACGGCUAACUACGUGCCAGCAGCCGCGGUAAUACGUAGGUGGCAAGCGUUGUCCGGAUUUAUUGGGCGUAAAGCGAGCGCAGGCGGUCAAUUAAGUCUGAUGUGAAAGCCCCCGGCUCAACCGGGGAGGGUCAUUGGAAACUGGUUGACUUGAGUGCAGAAGAGGAAAGUGGAAUUCCAUGUGUAGCGGUGAAAUGCGCAGAGAUAUGGAGGAACACCAGUGGCGAAGGCGACUUUCUGGUCUGUAACUGACGCUGAUGUGCGAAAGCGUGGGGAUCAAACAGG
rnacentral:rRNA from 1 species